rnacentral:rRNA from 1 species
AUGACCAUUGACCGCCGCGCCCGCGCAGCCCCGCGCGCGGAGGAGCGCCCGAGCCACGGCCGCUUCCUCCGCCCCGGCGCGCUCGCCCGGCUCCGGGACUGCAGGAUCGUCGCCCGCUCCCUGCGGUCGGCGGCGGCGCGCCUCCCGAUCCCGUCCGCCCCUCCGUCCCCCGCGGCGGAGCAGCAGAGGCAGGACGGCGUGCCGCACUUCCUGGUGGGGCCCACGAGGGGCCUCUGCGGCGCGGCGCGGUACCCGCUCAGGAGGAGGAUGGCCGCGGCGAGGUGCGUGGUGUUCUUGCCGCCGCCGGAGGCGUUCCUGGACGCGCCCGCGCCGUCGUGGGUCCUCGCCACCGCGCGCUGA